CAUCAGAGAGUAUAUAAGUGUUCAGUUAAACCUCCAUCUGCCUUAGUAAGUGUGCGUCUUGGCUAGAGCAUAUUCAAAAUCCUUAGCAUUCUCUAGAUUUCUCAGAAUCGGAAAUGAUUAGAGUUAAAUUUAGAAGUGUGAAAUCCCUAUUCAAGUGGAGAAUAAAAGAUAUUAAUAAGCAACUAUAUAUGGCAGUUGUUUCUAUUUCAAAUGUCACCUUAGUUUUCCCUUAUUAAAAAGACUCAUGGGUAUGCCAGAUAUUUAGACAGUCUGUUUAAUAACUCACUGAGAAGGGCCUUUACAGUACUCCGUUUCCAAACCGUGCAGACAGCUUACUUAGAUGGCCGAUAUACUGACAUGGAGAAACAUAACUGUCGCUGUCCAUGCAGCUCAGGCUAUAUCAAAGGAGGCUGUAAAGAAGAUGUUACAGAACUGAACAGGAAAGGUAAAACAACGACACAGAGAACCAGUAAGGAGUAUUUGCAUAAAGAGCAAGAGAACGAGAGCAUUCCGGCAACUGUCAUGGAUGGAAAGAAGGAACUGAGGAGGUGAAGGGUCGGCAGGUGUCUAUAUACUACACCAUGAAGGCGCCACUCCAGGGGGUACCAGAAUCGACUGGACGGAUACAACUAGGGGAAAAACUUCGAGUGAUGGUGCACAUGACGUGCAUGCAACUAUAUUGGAAUAGACAUGAGGAAGCACUUGAAGAAGAUUAGGGUAUCCACAUUCAAGUUUCCUGCAGUUUUUACAUAGUUUUGUGACUGUGUAUUUAUGACCAUUGAAAAACCUAUUCUAAUGACUGUGUGUAACAAAAACUGG